AGGACUAACGCUGGCGGCGUGCCUAACACAUGCAAGUCGAACGAGAGUAGCAAUACUCUAGUGGCAGACGGGUGAGUAACACGUGGUCAACCUACCUUUAAGUGGGGGAUAACUAGCCGAAAGGUUAGCUAAUACCGCAUACGAUCUUCGCGUGGCAUCACAUGAAGAUGAAAGGAGCAAUCCGCUGAAAGACGGGACCGCGUCCCAUUAGCCAGUUGGUGGGGUAACGGCCUACCAAAGCAACGAUGGGUAGCUGGCUUGAGAGAGCGACCAGCCACACUGGGACUGAGACACGGCCCAGACUCCUACGGGAGGCAGCAGUGAGGAAUUUUCCGCAAUGGGCGAAAGCCUGACGGAGCGACGCCGCGUGUGGGAUGAAGGCCUUCGGGUCGUAAACCACUGUCGAAGGGAAGAUAUUGACGGUACCCUUGGAGGAAGCCCCGGCUAACUACGCGCCAGCAGCCGC
rnacentral:rRNA from 1 species